ACUAUUCUUCUUCUUCAUCGUUUCAGGCCAAUAUUGCAGCACCAAUUGAAGCUCUGAACACAAAUUGGAACGACAUUGCAGGCUUGCAACACCGGUUGAAGCUCUGAAACACAAAUUGGAAUGACAUUGCAACACCAGUUGAAGCUCUGAAACAUGAAUUGGAACGAAGAAUCAAACCCUAAAUUCGCGAAUUGAUAACGAACUGGGUCGUAUACGAAUACCGUAUGGUACGAAACGUACCAAUACGAAAUUCGCCAGAUUUUGAGCAAAUUAGAGCAAUUGGAAGUUUCAAAUUACGGUUUCUCGUGUUCUGCGCAUUCGAUUCUCUCUUCUCCGAUUCACCGGUCCGCAGUUGUCAGCCACUCCGUCCGUCCACCGCGGUCACUCAUUCCGCUUCAGGAAGUCUCUCAUUCGUUUACUGGCUUCAUCAAUCUAUAUAUAAUCCCUUUAUUCAAUAAAGAUCAAAGAGUCUUAGGUUUCUGCAAGUAUGAAAAUCAAUUAUAAAAUUCACUUGCAGGGAUGAUGUAUAAAGGCAUAGAUUUUGGAAUUAUAUGAAAGUUAAUGCUGUUUCACGUGUCAUUUUUUCGAUAGAAUAAAUUUAUGUUAUAAAA